CUCAUGAAAAAAGUAAAAAGACAUUCUUAAAAUUUAUCUGAGCAUCCAAAAUAUUUAGCUCAUUUCUCACAACUUUAAUAACAAUAGGACAUUCUAUAAUCUGCUUUGAUAGUUAUAUGCAAUCAGUAUCAUGAACAUAAAACUAAAACAAAACAUUGGCUGACAACACAAGAAUCUUGUUAUAAAUUUCCUCAACAAUUGUUUUAAUGUGAU
rnacentral:lncRNA from 1 species